UGUAGCUCAGUUGGUAGAGUGCUUGCCUAGCAUGCAUGAAGACCUGGGUUUGAUUCCCAGCA
rnacentral:tRNA from 1 species